rnacentral:misc_RNA from 1 species
AACCUUAUGGACCUGCGGGCGUAUACCUGCGGAAGGAUCAUUACCGUUAAUAUUCCAACUUUUUAUGUCGGUUCGGGGGGCAACUUUCGGCCGGCAUAAAAAACCAAACCGUGAACUUGUUAAAGUCUGGCAAAUGUGCCAGCCGGACACCUUCGGCUGGUGCAUCUUGCCUCACCCUAAACCAACCUUAACCAUAUUGUCUUAUCCAAAUUAUCUUGCUGUAGUAAGGGGUUCGCCCCC